AACGAACGCUGGCGGCAGGCCUAACACAUGCAAGUCGAGCGAGAUCUUCGGGUCUAGCGGCGGACGGGUGAGUAACGCGUGGGAAUAUGCCCUUCUCUGCGGAAUAGCCUCGGGAAACUGAGCGUAAUACCGCAUACGCCCUUUGGGGGAAAGAUUUAUCGGAGAAGGAUUAGCCCGCGUUGGAUUAGGUAGUUGGUGGGGUAACGGCCUACCAAGCCGACGAUCCAUAGCUGGUUUGAGAGGAUGAUCAGCCACACUGGGACUGAGACACGGCCCAGACUCCUACGGGAGGCAGCAGUGGGGACUCUUAGACAAUGGGGGCAAGCCUGAUCUAGCCAUGCCGCGUGAGUGAUGAAGGCCUAGGGUUGUAAAGCUCUUUCAGCUGGGAAGAUAAUGACGGUACCAGCAGAAGAAGCCCCGGCUAACUCCGUG
rnacentral:rRNA from 1 species